CUGCUGUGCCUGGCUGAGAACAAGGCUCCAGCAGUCAGAUCUGCCCAGGGACCAUUGCUGUGGCCUGGGCCUUCCUGUAUUUGUGGAGGGCAGAUCUGACACUUCUUAGGAGAUGCAAAGUAUGUCUCAAAGACAAGGGUCUCCACUGCUAUGCAAGCUCCUGGUUCUGCUCUGAACUGCUACAUGACAACUGUUCCUAAUGCAGAAGUCACACAUCAGCACACUGCUCCUUCUUCCUGUGGACUUCCCCUCUCCAGGGUGGAUACAGGGAGUGCCAGUACUACACUCAGCAACACGAGACUUCCCAGAAACAGAGUGCUCUGGGAUGCAGGCAGGUUUGGAUGACCGUGUGUUUGAGCAUGUAUUUCAAACAUAAACACAUUAAGUGACAGAAGAAACCCUCUCCCAGAAAGGUCACAACACUUACAUCCUAGACCUACCCAGAUGACAGGCCCAAUUAAUACUGAUUAAAAAACCAGUACAAAGCAAAACACCAGCAACAGCCAUUGAAAAUCAUCUGCUGUGGAUAUACCAGAUUCCUAGCAGUCAAGCCGAAAUUAAAAUGAGGGAUGGGUUACUCAAAUCAAACCAAAUACAAACUUAACAAGAAUUUA